GGUGAGUUGUCCGAGUGGUUUAAGGAGCACGCUUGGAAAGCGUGUGUGUGGAGUUAAAUCUGCACCGAGAGUUCAAAUCUCUCACUCACCG
rfam:Candidatus Photodesmus katoptron Akat1 chromosome I Contig1, whole genome shotgun sequence.